CCUCUGUCGACCUGCGAGGGACAGAAUAAGAACCAGGCAGAGGACUGAAGACGUUUGGGGAGAUUUUUUUAUCUCUGAACCAUCGGGACUGGACCUGAGAGAAAAAUUUGACUGAACAUGUCUGAUGUGGACAAAGAGGAGGACAGAUCAGAGUCUGAUGACAGAUUUGAGCAGCUUGGACACACGGCAGAGUCUUCAGGAUCCUGGAGCUUGUCUAUGAACAGUGACUGGCUCGAACAUGAACCACCAGUCUUCAGUGUUGAACCUGGACCUUCAGACACAAAAGAGAAGAGGAGUGAUGUUUGUGAGGAGCAGGAUAAGUCCUGCUGUGUUUUGUGUCAGGAAGUCCUGAAGGAUCCAGUCCGGUGGAGCUGUGGACACCAGGUCUGCAGAGAGUGCAGCAGCUCACACUGGGACCAGGGUUCUUCAUCAGGAGCUUCUUGCUGUUCUCAAUGUGAAGAAAGAUCCAGAAGCGUCGCUGCACCAAGUGUUGGUCUGCAGCAGCUUCUAGAAGAACAUAAGAAGAGUCUGAGGAGGAGAUGUGAACG